rnacentral:lncRNA from 1 species
CUGGAAGGGCAGUCCUCUCUCUAGGAUGCAAAUGGCUGAAGGGAAGAUGGCCAGGAUGAUCACGUGGGUUAUCCCCAGUGAUGGAGUGGGUACCACUUUAUGAGGGUCCGUGGGCAUCUUGGUAAGGAGCUUGAAUUAUAUUCUAAGUCAGGGGACAGGUCUGCUGUGGAAAUGAGACGAAUGCCUUUAUCCAUAGCCCCGUUGAUCCUGUAGAUUUAUCUCAGAUAUCUCUGCUGUGUUCACAAACGUUGUGGAGAAAGCAGAAUCAAUAAAGAACAGAAGGAAUAAAGAGAGAGCUGUUCAGACCAGGGAAUUACGGCGUUGUGAUUCACUUGGAAGACCGGCAUAAAAAUGCGCAGCGGAAUCUAUCAGUUGCAGUGCCAUCAAGGACGGCGGUGAAGGAGAGAAGGGGAUGGAUGGAGUGUGAGGUUUUCAUCUUAAACCUGAUGAAGGAAACUAAGAUGGGGACUGAGAAGACUUUCUAGGAAAGUCCCAAUACAAAGGAACAACUCCGCUUCAAAGUGUCCCGUGAAAAGCUACAUCCCAGGAGAACCUGCCUUCCAAAAAGCUCACCCCUCCUCCCGCAGUGGUACCCACUGCCAGGCAGCCAGGACUGUUAAUACAUGCAGUGAUGGGCACAUCCUGAAUAUUCCUGAAGAUUCAUUGGAAGGACUGAUGCUGAAGCUUCAAUACUCUGGCCACCUGAUGCCAAGAGCUGACUCAUUGGAAGAGACUCUGAUGCUGAGAAAGAUUGCGAACAGGAGGAGAAGGGGAUGACAGAGGAUGAGAUGGUUGGAUGGCACCACUGACUUGAUGGACAUGAAUUUAAGCAAACUCCAGAAGAUAAUGAAGAACAGGGAAGCCUGGCGUGCUGCAGUCCAUGGGGUCACAAAACAGUCAGAUACAGCUGAGCAACUGAACAACUAAAUGAUUUUCAGAGGGAGUUAUUACGUGAAAUCUUAACUUGAAGAUGGUUUAAAUGACUCAGGGUGAAGCUGAAUUUCCCCAUCACUUUAAAAAUAUUUAUUGAAAUAAAUAAACCAUAUCACUGGGCCA